AUGGCUCCAAAGGGCCACCACUUACGGGCUAUUCAUGCCCGUGCCACCUUUUGGGUGGCUUAAUCUUCAUCAAUCAAUCGAAAAGUAGAAGGCGAGAGGAAGACGUUGGAUGGUGGGAGCCCAGCAGAGGUCAGGUAACUGGUGGCAGCCACAGUCUCAGUAUAGUCGGUGACGGGAGCCAGAGGCGGGACGCAGCGCUGGGAGCACACAGAUGACCAGAGCAAGCGUGAGUGGCUUGGGAAGAUGAGCGAGGUUGACGAGAUGGUAUUGUGGACACUACCCAGAAGGCGACAGUGGCCAAACAAGAGCUAAUGGUCCUGAUGGAGGUAGAGCCAAUCUCAUACUGGAUGUCCCCGGGGCAGAGGCUUAUUCCCAUGGAAGAGGACCUGACAUCUAUUCUUAGGCAAGGAUUUAUCCCCCCAGGGGAGAGAUUCAUAGUGUACUGGUGUCUGCUGGUGCUCUCUGCUCAGCUCCAUGCUAUCUUUGUUCUGGUCCACAACCUGGCAUUACCAGGAAAUAUGUAAUACCUUGUUCUGCUCCUUAUUUCAUUGUCAGCAGCAUUAGAGCACUAAUAUCUGUCUUCUUUAGUUGCUCAGCUUUUAACAGUCCAUUUUGUGAACUAGAGAAAAGUUACAUCCAAAUUUUGCACAAGAGGUUAGAAGGUAUGGGACAAAGUAUCCAUAGGACAAAGUAUCUAUGGGACAAAAUAUCCAUUGUUCAUAGUCUAAGCACUAAUGUGCUUAGACUAUGAACAAUUUAUAUUCCUUUUUUACAUUGUAUAUAUCCAAUUUUGAGAUGAAAUAAUAAAUUCAGGCAACCUA